AAAAAGGCAAACCCUGGGUUUCCGUGUCCAACUUUGACUGUCCGUCUUAUAUGAAAUUUUUUUAUAAUUCGUAUUUUUAUUGUUCUUAGAUGAUAAAACAUGAUUAAUAUUUUAUGCGUGACUUGUCUUUUUAAUUUUUUUCAUAAUUUUUUCAAAUAAGACGGACGGUCAAACGUUGGGCACGGAAACUAGGGUUUGUCUUUUU
rnacentral:pre_miRNA from 1 species